rnacentral:misc_RNA from 1 species
AAAGAGCAAAGCAGUCAUAGAUGCGAAUGUUAGAGAAAAAGAGAAUUUUGAUGACCUGAAGGGUGAAAUCAACAAGCAAAUUGUACAGGCUCAGGCUGACAUAGAAGAUCUCAAGAGGCAACUCGAAGAAAGCAAGGUUGAAAGGAAGCACAAAGAAGAGGGUGAGGCUAUCAGGAAGUUAAUUGCUAUGCAGCCUCCAAGAUCAGAAACUCAGAAGGUUAUAACAGAGCUUGAGAAAGAGAUAGCUAUGUUGGAAGCAGAGAAUACUGCUAGUUCGAGGACAUUGGACCUUCGUAAAAAGCAGUUUGCCCUUUUAUUGCAUGUGGUUGAUGAGUUGCAGAACACAAUAGAGGAAGAGCAAAGGGGUUUGGUCGAAGAGAUGAAGAAUGUUGUCGAUGAUCAUAACAAGAGCGGAGUGGAGGAUGCUACCAUGGGUCCUGAAGCAAUGGCUGUUGAUUAGCAAGUGACUCCUUAUUGCAGAAUUCUGUUUAACUGUACCAAUAGACAAGUAUGCUAUUUUAAAGUGAGACAAAGAUUGGGGGUCUUGCUGUAUAUAUGAUGUUUCUGCAAGCUGUAAGAAAGCUUUGAAUGCGUGAUGAGUCGAGGAAACAAUAUGUAUAGUCCCAUUAAUUUUCAAGUCAUAUUAUCGUAUUUACGAGCCAACUUUUAGGAACUGGUCUACUUUCUUGAUUUUUCGUGUGUAUUAGUCAAUGAAUCUGGCGUUU